CCUACGGGAGGCAGCAGUGAGGAAUAUUGGUCAAUGGCCGGAAGGCUGAACCAGCCAUGCCGCGUGAAGGUCAGUGCCCUAUGGGCGUUAAACUUCUUUUGUGCGGGAGCAAUAAUGGUCACGUGUGGCCAGACGAGAGUACCGUACGAAUAAGCAUCGGCUAACUCCGUGCCAGCAGCCGCGGUAAUACGGGGGAUGCAAGCGUUAUCCGGAUUUAUUGGGUUUAAAGGGUGCGUAGGCUGUGAGGUAAGUCAGCGGUGAAAUGCCCCCGCUCAACGGGGUGAAGUGACAUUGAUACUGCCUGGCUGGAAUGCGGAUGCCGUGGGAGGAAUGUGUGGUGUAGCGGUGAAAUGCAUAGAUAUCACACAGAACACCGAUUGCGAAGGCAUCUCACGAAUCCGCGAUUGACGCUGAUGCACGAAAGCGUGGGUAUCAAACAGGAUUAGAUACCCCAGUAGUC
rnacentral:rRNA from 1 species